CUGCGAGUGAGGCGGGAAGAGCUCAAAUUUAAAAUCUGGCGGCUUUGCCGUCCGAGUUGUAAUUUAGAGAAGCGUUUUCCGCGCCGGACCGUGUACAAGUCUCCUGGAACGGAGCGUCAUAGAGGGUGAGAAUCCCGUCUUUGACACGGACCUCCCGGUGCUUUGUGAUACGCUCUCGAAGAGUCGAGUUGUUUGGGAAUGCAGCUCAAAAUGGGUGGUGAACUCCAUCUAAAGCUAAAUAUUGGCGAGAGACCGAUAGCGAACAAGUACCGUGAGGGAAAGAUGAAAAGCACUUUGGAAAGAGAGUGAAACAGUACGUGAAAUUGCUGAAAGGGAAACGCUUGAAGUCAGUCGCGUCCGCCGGAAUUCAGCCCUUGUGGUGUACUUUCUGACGGACGGGCCAGCAUCACUUUUGACCGCCGGAAAAGGGUGGAGGGAAUGUGGCACCUUCGGGUGUGUUAUAGCCCUCCGUCGUAUACGGUGGUUGGGAGUGAGGACCGCCUAUCUUUUGUAGGAUGCUGGCGUAAUGGCUUUAAACGACCCGUCUUGAAACACGGACCAAGGAGUCUAACAUGCCCGCGAGUGUUCGGGUGGAAAACCCGUGCGCGUAAUGAAAGUGAAAGUUGGGAAGGCUGUCGUGGCCUGCACCGACGCCCGGACCUGAGAUUUAUCGACGGUUCUGCGGUAGAGCGUGUAUGUUGGGACCCGAAAGAUGGUGAACUAUGCCUGAAUAGGGUGAAGCCAGAGGAAACUCUGGUGGAGGCUCGUAGCGAUUCUGACGUGCAAAUCGAUCGUCGAAUUUGGGUAUAGGG
rnacentral:rRNA from 1 species